rnacentral:rRNA from 1 species
UACGUAGGGACCAAGCGUUGUUCGGAUUUACUGGGCGUAAAGGGCGCGUAGGCGCAUGACAAGUCACUUGUGAAAUCUCCGGGCUUAACUCGGAACGGUCAAGUGAUACUGUCGCGCUAGAGUGCGGAAGGGGCAAUCAGAAUUCUUGGUGUAGCGGUGAAAUGCGUAGAUAUCAAGAGGAAUACCUGAGGUGAAGACGGGUUGCUAGGCCGACACUGACGCUGAAGCGCGAAAGCCAGGGGAGCAAACGGG